GAGUCAGUUUUCAGGAGCAGGAAAAAGAAACAGUUCUCUUUUCCCGGCUUGGAAGAAAAGUUCCACUGUGCUAGACACUGGCCCUGUCAUUUUUAGGAAAGGGAAAAGGUCACAGCUUGAGAGCCUUGUCCCAAUGCUUUGGAAGCUCUUGGGCUUAUCCCCUAGAACUGGCCUGGACCCUCUGGAGCAGCAGAGGGAGGAUUGGAGUCAGGUUUCCUGUUGGCUCUUGCAUUGAGGACCAGAGUGGAGAGGAUGGCACAGAUAAAGUUCAACCAACUGCAGAUGAAGGCCUACCUAGAAGGGUCUGUGCAGGACAAGCAGGGUCCCUCCAGAUCUGAAGACUAUGCAGUCAGCUAGCACCAGGCCAACACCAGGGGACAAGACCAAGAAUGAAGAGACCAAGGCUCCCUGCAGAUCACAUGUCCGAUUCUCAUUGCUUCCAACCUUGGCUGCCUGGAAGAACCUUAUCUCUACAUAGAUACAGCCAAUGAGUCUACACUAGACAAGGCAACCAGAGACCAAAGAGAAGAAAAGGCAGAGCGGGGACAUCCGGAGACCAGAGAGAAGCAACAGCUGUUGGCUCAGAAUACCACAGAAAGAAACUUGAGGUAGCGGCUUGCCAGUGGGCUACUGUGAAACCAGAGGCGUGGUAUCUUUUCUGCCACUAGCCUGGCAGGCAUUGACAGGGAGGUUGGCCUUGGCAGUGACUGAGCAACCCCAAUCCCAGUAGCCUGGGGCAAUCUCUUUCUGGAAGACAGCGGCUUCCUUGCUUUUGCUGGCUCUUCCAGUUCACCAUCACCUGAGAGUUUCUGGCUGUGGACACAGCCUGCCAAGGGGCAAGCUGAAGGAAACUGGACUGUAUGAGAAAAUGGGGAACCUGUCAGGGUAGAAGCAAGCUUCCUGCAGCCCCAUGGCACGGUUCUUCAGUUUGGGUUGCCUCUCAUUUUGGCAUGGAUUUGAGGAGGAGAUCGUGUUCUAAAGUUGCUGGAGAAAAUUAGAAGGAUUGCAAGUGAAGCUGGGUAGUGCUCUAUG
rnacentral:lncRNA from 1 species